rfam:Mycobacterium sp. 1274756.6 contig_97, whole genome shotgun sequence.
GGGCGGUCAGAACCUGACACCGGACGAGGGGCGCCGUACCCGGCCAGCGACAAGACGGCGUCAC